rnacentral:lncRNA from 13 species
AUGCGCACGCGCACACACACACACACACAUAUACACGCACACACACACACAUAUACACAUACACAUACAUGCACACACACAUACACACAUACACACACAGGCAGACACAUACACACACAUAUAUAUACACACACAGACACACAUACACACACAGAGACACAUACACACACAUAUACACAUACACAUACAUGCACACACACACACAUAUACACAUAUACAUGCACACACACAUACACACAGACACACACACAUAUACACACAGACACAUACACACAGAGAGAGACAUACACACACAUACAUGCACACACAUACACACACAUAUACACAUACUCAUACACGCGCACACACAUACACACAGACACAUAUACACACAUACACGCACACAUGCACACACACACAGACACACAUAUACACGCACACGCACACACACAUACACAUACAUGCACACACACAUACACACAUACAGAGACACACAUACACACACAUAUACACGCACACACACAGACACACACAUAUACACAUACACAUACAUGCACACACACAGAGACACACAGACACACACAUAUACACAUAUACACACAGAGACACACAUACACACAUAUACACGCACACACACAGACACACAGACACACACAUAUACACAUACACAGACAUAUACACGCACAUGCACACACAUACACACAGACACACAUAUACACAUACACAUAUAUGCACACACACAGACACACAUACACAUAUACACACACAGAGACACACAUGCACACACAUACACACACACACACACAGAGGCAGGAGGAGAGAGUGACGUGUCUCAGUUGGACAUGGCUGCCACAUACUGCCAGGCUUUCCAUGCGAAGAUUUGUUGAGGAUUUCUGCGUUCAUGUUCGUGAGCAAGACUGGUCUGUAAUUUUACUUUUCUUUGUUCGGUUUGGGUAUCGUGUUUUCCAGGAACUGAAUCACGGCAGGUGGAGUUGCUGUUCCCAUCACGCCUCGGCUGCGGAAGAGCUCGUGUGA